UCGUCACGACAGCAGAUUUACAGAGACUCAGAUGUAGGGUGACGUGAAGAAAAUCUUGAUAGGACUCAAACUCAAGCCCAGUGUAUACGAGCCCUGGGAUGGACAGUGUUUAUGAUUACAGCAGCAGCUCGUAGACACGGAUCUACAGUACCCAGAUACAGUGACUGACCAUCAAGAAAGCUGUUUCGCAGGAUGCGGAAAACGGGAUAUUUCAGCAUGAUGUGGUCCUGAAACACACACCUCCAAAAGCGCUCCACACACUGACCUCGCUCCUUCUCCACCCAGUCCAAAAUGUCAUACACACCUUUCUGCUUUCUCUCCUUAUUUCUCAUCUUUAUGACCAUCUGCACAGGGAAAGAAAUCGGAGAGAGAAUCUCAACACACCUUUGUUGUUAAGAUGUUAAGGAUACAAAUGACUGCGUUUUUUUAUUGUAUUAGAUAUGCAGUGUGUCCACUUUAAAACGUUACAAAUGUGUAAUAAGAACAUUUUAGAUUCUGUUCUCCAUGUCCAGGUCUUCAGAAAUUAUAUAAUAUUGUGAAAGGUAUGAUUUAAUUAUGUUUAACAUUCUCACAUAAAUGUUUAUUUCACGUUUAA